GACGAACGCUGGCGGCGUGCUUAACACAUGCAAGUCGAACGGAAAGGCCCUGCUUUCGUGCGCUUCUCGAGUGGCGAUGGGGUGCGUAACACGUGAGUAACCUGCCCUUGUCUUUCGGAUAACUUCACGAAACUGAGCUUAAUCUCGUAUAGGAUCCCCUGUUCCAUUGUGGGCGUGGGAUCUUUUCGGCGGUUGGGGUUGGACUCGCGGCUUAUCGGUUUGCUAGUUGGGUAGUGGCUUACCAAGGCUUGGGCGGGUAGCCGGCCUGAGAGGGGGAACGGCCACAAUGGGACUGAGAGACGGCGCAGAGUCGUACGGGAGGCAGUAGGGGGGAGUAUUGUACAAUGGGCGCAAGCGUGAUGCAGAGACGCCGGGUGCGGGAUGACGGCCUUCGGGGUGUAAACAGCUGUAGGCUGUGACGAAGCGGGAGUGACGGUAAUGGAUAAAGAAGCACCGGCUAACUACGUG
rnacentral:rRNA from 1 species